AUUGAACGCUGGCGGCAUGCUUUACACAUGCAAGUCGAACGGUAACAGGCCUUCGGGCGCUGACGAGUGGCGAACGGGUGAGUAAUGCAUCGGAACGUGCCCAGAGGUGGGGGAUAACGCAGCGAAAGCUGUGCUAAUACCGCAUAUUAUCUGAGGAUGAAAGCGGGGGACUAAGCAGCAAUGUUUGGCCUCGCGCCUUUGGAGCGGCCGAUGUCAGAUUAGGUAGUUGGUGGGGUAAAGGCCUACCAAGCCGACGAUCUGUAGCUGGUCUGAGAGGACGACCAGCCACACUGGGACUGAGACACGGCCCAGACUCCUACGGGAGGCAGCAGUGGGGAAUUUUGGACAAUGGGCGCAAGCCUGAUCCAGCAAUGCCGCGUGCAGGAAGAAGGCCUUCGGGUUGUAAAGCUCUUUGUUCAGGGAAGAAACAACCGGCUCUAACACAGUCCGGGAAUGACGGUACCUGAGAAUAAGCACCGGCUAACUACGU
rnacentral:rRNA from 1 species